CAACAAGUAUUUUAAAUUAAAAUAUUAAUUUUGGGUAUUAAUGAUAUGGGUAUAUCCAUUUUGUUGA
rnacentral:tRNA from 1 species